AUCUAAUAAAUGCGUCCCUUCCA
rnacentral:siRNA from 1 species